UACGUAGGUGGCAAGCGUUUGUCCGGAUUUUACUGGGCGUAAAGGGCGUGCAGGCGGUUUGUUAAGUGCAGGGUGAAAGCUCCCGGCUCAACUGGGAGAGGUCCUUGCAUACUGGCAAACUCGAGGGAGGCAGAGGAAAGUGGAAUUCCCGGUGUAGUGGUGAUAUGCGUAGAUAUCGGGAGGAACACCUGUGGCGAAGGGCGGCUUUCUGGG
rnacentral:rRNA from 1 species